rnacentral:rRNA from 1 species
AUUGAACGCUGGCGGCAGGCCUAACACAUGCAAGUCGAGCGAGCGGCGGACGGGUGAGUAAUGCCUAGGAAUCUGCAUGGUAGUGGGGGAUAACCAAACGAAAGAUUGGCUAAUACCGCAUACUCUUCGAGCGGCCGAUAUCUGAUUAGCUAGUUGGUGGGGUAAAGGCUCACCAAGGCGACGAUCAGUAGCGGGUCUGAGAGGACGAUCAGCCACACUGGGACUGAGACACGGCCCAGACUCCUACGGGAGGCAGCAGUGGGGAAUUUUGGACAAUGGGGGCAACCCUGAUCCAGCCAUGCCGCGUGUAUGAAGAAGGCCUUCGGGUUGUAAAGUACUUUUGGUAGGGAAGCGGUACCUAAAGAAUAAGCACCGGCUAACUACGUGCCAGCAGCCGCGGUAAUAC